rnacentral:rRNA from 1 species
CCCUUAGAUGUUCUGGGCAGCACGCGCGCUACAAUGGUCUUCGCAAACGGAUGCAUUCUCGAAGGAGAAUGCCAAUCUUGGAAUCUAUGCCUUGGUCGGGACAGUUGCUUGCAAUUUUUCGACUCGAACCAGGAAUUCCUUGUAAUCGUGAUUCAUCACAUCACGAUGAAUACGUCCCUGCCCUUUGUAUACACCGCCCGUCGCUCCUACCGAUCGAAGAGUUAGGUGAAUUGUUUUGAUCGAUAAGAUUUGACUAUGGUCAACUCUCGUUGUGAAAUUCUGUGAAUCUGACUGUUUAGAGGAAGGAAAAGUCGUAACA